GGCGAACGCUGGCGGCGUGCUUAACACAUGCAAGUCGAGCGGUAAGGCCCUUUCGGGGGUACACGAGCGGCGAACGGGUGAGUAACACGUGGGUGACCUGCCCUCAGCUCUGGGAUAAGCCCGGGAAACUGGGUCUAAUACUGGAUAUGACUCCACGGUGCAUGCCGUGGGAUGGAAAGCCUUGUGCGGCUGAGGAUGGGCCCGCGGCCUAUCAGCUUGUUGGUGGGGUGANGGCCUACCAAGGCGACGACGGGUAGCCGGCCUGAGAGGGCGACCGGCCACACUGGGACUGAGACACGGCCCAGACUCCUACGGGAGGCAGCAGUGGGGAAUCUUGCGCAAUGGGCGAAAGCCUGACGCAGCGACGCCGCGUGAGGGAUGACGG
rnacentral:rRNA from 1 species